CCGAUGGCAAAGAACGAGAAGUAAGCACUUAUGUCUGUCGUAGACGUCUGUCGUGGACGUAUGGUAAGGCAGAGAAAAACUGCACAUAUUUGUUCUCCAGAGAACUAAAGUGUAGAAUAACCGUUGCAACAGACGACACCAGGGUUAACGAUCGAAAUAAGCGAUCUAAUUCGGAUAAUAUGAGCGAUCGGCCGCUGAAUAGCGGAUCCUGGAAAUACAAAGACAAUGCUUUCUCAUCGACGUCGCGAACGAAACUACGCUCGUGACGGUACGUGGUACCUGUUCGGCAGGAUCGUGAGAUCAGAAGAAAUUGCGAGGAAAGGCGAGAGCGUAUCGAGGCCGGAUCGGUGAGAAUCGAUUCUAUCGGCCAGACGAUCCGCGCGCAAUGCAGAAGCGAAGAAAUGGUUGGGCGAGAGCGCGUGUAAAAGGUUUCCUCCGCGUUUGUUCUCGUCGCUCGGCCGGAAAAUAAUCGAAAUGAUCGAUGCAUCGCUCGUAUCAUCGCCGGUACCGUUCGCCGACCGACGACGCCGAGGACGCCUUAUCGGUUUUGGUGUGCCGUUUUCUUCCGGCGACCCGUUUCCGGCGACUUCGAUUUAUUACGCGUGCGUGAUCGAGCCUGACCCUCAUCUUUACAGCGGCAAAAAACCCAAACAAAUCGUUGGUGGUCUCGCGCAAUCAGUAUGAAGCAUAAUUUAAAAAAAAUAUGUAUAUAUAAUUCAACAGAAGAGAACUCGCAUUUCUUUCGUACCAAACAUUUUAUAACGUUAUCUCUUGCAAAAUUUUGUGUAAAACAAAAUGUAAAAAAGAGUUUCAUGGAAUAUUAAACAUACUUUUACAAACACA